rnacentral:rRNA from 1 species
GUCAAGUGAUUAAGGGCAUAAGGCGGAUGCCUUGGCACUGGGAGCCGAUGAAGGUCGUGAUAAGCUGCGAAAAGCUGCGGGUAGGAGCAAAUAUCCAUUGAACCGCGGAUCACCGAAUGGGGCAACCCGGCUGGAGCAAUGUCCAGUCAUUCCUGUGCGAAUCCAUAACACAGGUAAAGGAAACCCGGGGAACUGAAACAUCUAAGUACCCGGAGGAAGAGAAAGAAACCUCGAUUCCCAAAGUAGCGGCGAGCGAAAUGGGAAGAGCCCAAACCGAAGACUUGUCUUCGGGGUUGUGGACACCAAUAAGACGAAGAAUACAUAGCGGAAGCGCUCUGGAAAGUGCAACCGCAGAGGGUAACAGUCCCGUACGCGAAAUGUAAUCUAGUUGUGGUGUAUCCAGAGUAGCACCGGACACGUGAAACCCGGUGUGAAGCAGGAGGGACCACCCUCCAAGGCUAAAUACUACCCAGUGACCGAUAGCGUAUAGUACCGUGAGGGAAAGGUGAAAAGAACCCCGGGAGGGGAGUGAAAUAGAAUCUGAAACCUUAUGCUUACAAGCAACGGGAGCGCAAGUGACCGUGUACUUUUUGUAGAACGGGCCAACGAGUUAUGGUAUGCAGCGAGGUUAAGGUGUUCAGCACCGGAGCCGAAGGGAAACCAAGUGUUAACCGCGCGUAUAGUUGUAUGCUGUAGACCCGAAACCGGGUGACCUAUCCAUGUGCAGGUUGAAGUAACCGUAAAAGGUUAUGGAGGACCGAACUUAUAUCUGUUGAAAAAGGUUAGGAUGACGUGUGGAUAGCGGUGAAAUUCCAAUCGAACUCGGAGAUAGCUGGUUCUCCUCGAAAUAGCUUUAGGGCUAGCCUCAAGAUGAGAUACAUGGGGGUAGAGCACUGAAUGUCCGCAGGGCCUUCACCGGUUACUAACGACUAUCAAACUCCGAAUACCAUAGUAUCAUUCUUGGGAGUCAGACUAUGUGUGAUAAGAUUCAUGGUCGAAAGGGAAACAGCCCAGACCGUCAGCUAAGGUCCCAAAAUCUAAGUUAAGUGGAAAAGGAUGUGGAGCUGCAUAGACAACUAGGAUGUUGGCUUAGAAGCAGCCACUCAUUCAAAGAGUGCGUAAUAGCUCACUAGUCGAGUGACUCUGCGCCGAAGAUAAACGGGGCUCAAACUUAGUACCGAAGCUACGGAUACCUUAUGGUAUGGUAGAGGAGCAUUGUAUAUGGGCCGAAGGUGAGCUGUAAGGCUUGCUGGACUGUAUACAAGAGAGAAUGUUGGCAUGAGUAGCGAAAGCAAGGUGAGAAUCCUUGCCGCCGAAUAUCUGAGGUUUCCUGAGGAAGGCUCGUCCUCUCAGGGUUAGUCGGGGCCUAAGCCGAGGCCGAAAGGCGUAGGCGAUGGACAGCUGGUUGAGAUUCCAGCACCACCGAGGUUUGUUUGAGCGAAGUGGGGACGCAGAAGGAUAAGAAGAGCGCGCCGUUGGUCGAGCGCGUCCAAGCAGAAAGGCUUGCAUGUAGGCAAAUCCGCAUGCUUUAAGGCUGAUCUGUGAUGGGGAGGGAACCAAGUACCGAAGCUUCCGAUUUCACACUGCCGAGAAAAGCCACUAGUAAGAACUGAGGUGCCCGUACCGCACACCAACACAGGUAGAUGAGGAGAGAAUCCUAAGGCGAGCGAGAGAACCAUUGUUAAGGAACUCGGCAAAAUAACCCCGUAACUUCGGGAGAAGGGGUGCUCUAGAGAUAGAGCCGCAGUGAAAAGUCCCAGGCGACUGUUUACCAAAAACACAGGUUUCUGCCAAAGCGAAAGCUGAAGUAUAGGAGCUGACGCCUGCCCGGUGCUGGAAGGUUAAGGGGAUGUGUUAGCGCAAAGCCCCAGUAAACGGCGGCCGUAACUAUAACGGUCCUAAGGUAGCGAAAUUCCUUGUCAGGUAAGUUCUGACCCGCACGAAAGGCGUAACGAUCUGGGAACUGUCUCAACAAUGGACUCGGUGAAAUUGUAUUACCGGUAAAGAUGCCGGUUACCCGCAGCAGGACGGAAAGACCCCGUGGAGCUUUACUACAACUUGAUAUUGAAUUUCGGUGUUGCAUGUACAGAAUAGGUGGGAGACUAAGAGACCGGGACGCCAGUUUCGGAGGAGUCACCGUUGGGAUACCACCCUUGUAACAUUGAGGUUCUAACCAGAUACCGUGAUCCGGUAUUGGGACAGUGUCAGGCGGGUAGUUUGACUGGGGCGGUCGCCUCCUAAAGAGUAACGGAGGCGCCCAAAGGUUCCCUCAGUGCGGUUGGAAAUCGCGCGAAGAGUGUAAAGGCAGAAGGGAGCUUGACUGCGAGACAAACAGGUCGAGCAGGGACGAAAGUCGGGCUUAGUGAUCCGGUGGUUCCGAGUGGAAGGGCCAUCGCUCAACGGAUAA